rnacentral:lncRNA from 1 species
UUGGCUCUACAUGAGUUGAUAACCACUGAAUAUAAAGAGUAACGACUCUGGAAACGAUUUAAUGAAAUGUAAACUGAGAAGGUAAAUGUGAGAGAUUCAUGAGAUGUGGGCUGUGUAGGUAUAUGUUGGGAAUUAAUACGAUGAAAGCUGUGCAGGUAUACGUGGGGGAUUAAUGAGAUGUAGGCAGUGUAAGUAUAUGUGGGAGAUUUAAUGAGAUGUGGGCUGUGUAGGUAUAUGUAGGGGAUUAAUGAAAUGUAGGCUGUGUAGGUAUAUGUAGGGGAUUAAUAAGAUGUAGGCUGUGUAGGUAUAUGUGGGAAAUUUAGUGAGAUGUAGGCUGUGUAGGUAUAUUUAGGGGAUUAAUAAAAAGUAGGCGGUGUAGGUAUAUGUAGGGGGUUAAUGGGAUGUAGGCUGUGUUAGUAUAUGUGGAGGACUAGUGAGAUGUAGGCUGUUUAGGUAUAUGUGGGGGAUUAAUGAGAUCUAGCUAUAGUCUGUGCAGGUAUAUAUGCAGCGGAUUAAUGAAAUGUAGGCUGUGUAGGUAUAUUUAGGGGGUUAAUGGGAUGUAGGCUGUGUAGGUAUAUGCGGAGGACUAAUGAGAUGUUGGAUGCGUAGGUAUAUGUAGGGGAAUAAUGAAAUGCAGACUCUGGGGGAUAUAUUCAGGGGAUAUUAAGAGGUGUGGUUUAGGAAGAACCCUUGAUUAUAUAUUUAGGGGGUAUUGUUUUAUGAGAGAUUAAUAGAGAUGUGUAUAUUUUAGUGGAGUGAACUGACCGCCCAACCAUCCAGGUGGUGUCGCACUUAUAAAGCGAAAGAACAAAAGGCUUGGCUGUGAGCCAAUGAAAAAACACUGACGUCAUAGCUAAACCGGACAAACGAACUCCUGACACCGGCUGGAUUUGAUUAUUCAAAAUGGCGGACAUACCUCAAUUUAAGGCUAUAAUAUGCUAGUUGGCCAAACAUUCUUUAGAUGCACGCUUGUGUUCUGUAACGGCUUUGUAAUUUAUGCUAUACAUACAGUUAUAUAUUAAAAUACGCGUUCGCCUUGUGUAUCUUGAGUUACAGUAGCCAGAUUAAGCCUUGAUUGAUGACGUUCGUUUAAGGUUCUGUCUGCCAUCUAAUAUUACAUGUUGCAGCGAAAAGGGUAGUAGUUCAAAUUCGUCGACAACGUCUACCGUCUGCAAAUGACUACGAGCAAAAACAACUUCCGGUACCUCGCCGCCUAAAACAUCACAAUUUUCAAUGUUAUUCCACCAGAUAUCAUUGUUUCUGCAACAUUUAGAUUUGAGGUCAAUUAAGUGGUGAGAUCUUCGAGAACUGAAAGCUAUGGAAACAGAAUACUGUAAUGAUUACUUGGUUUGGAGCAGGAAAGCCCUGAGUAUCAACUCGCCAAGUUCAAGGACGUUGUUGAUGACGAUGGCCUUUAAGUAUUCAAAGCCUUAAGCUAUACUGAAGAAGAAGAUGCAAACGAUUGCCGGUGUAGUAAUGGGGAAGAUGAAAAGGUAUUGCAUCAGCGAAGUAACGUAAAUGAGAUUGUUUCAGCUAGAGGGAAAAACUUCCUACCGAAACGCUCGACAACUUAUUUAAAAAGAAUUAAAAGAACCUUGGAAAAGAGCUGGAAUUUAUAUGAGUUUUUACGGUUUUUAUCCAAUGCUCUCAUCUGCGUUCGAUUGGUCUUGGGAUAAAACAUGAGCAAAGCACAAAGCAGCCACUUAGGAUGACAGACCCCACGUUAAACAAGUGUAUCGAUAUUCCAGCAUCCGGGAUGCAAAUAUAGGAAUCUUAACUAUGACGACAGCGACGCCGAGGACAACUCCUGGUAAAAUUGAAUUUGUCCAGGAUGGCUAUGGCUAUGGCUCUAAAACCUCGCUCAGGCUACACAUAUGCAAUGAAAGCGUUUAAUUCUAAAUGGAAAUACGAAAAAUUAGCAGUUCGACUCAUCGUUCGUGUUCGCGGUCAUUUUACAGUGGACGGCUAUGAAAUGUACAGAGGUUUACUGAACUUACUUGUUUUGGUUUUACACCGGUUUGAGAUUGGAUUAGUGGUCUAAUUGUUAAGUAAUUGGUUUGGUUUUGGUCAAGUUACGACACUCAA